rnacentral:lncRNA from 1 species
UCAGAAAAAUACCAUGAAUAAUUACGAAAAAACACAAAUAUAUUCAAGACAUUACAUAUAAUUCUAUAGAUCACAGAAAAUCAAGGAAUUUGCAAAUGUAUAAAUAAUCACUGAUUUACACUAUCAUCUUCGGACACUCAUGAGAAUAGUCAGAACUAAAGAUGUCACAUAACAUAGAGAGGCAACAUUUCUUAGGUACUCUAAUACAGAACGAGAAAUCAAGUGUCACUCCACUCGUGCUGAGUGGCGAUCCAAAUGGGACUACGACCUUUCGUGAGCUAGAGGUGUAAGAAUGUAGCUGACUCCAACAAAAAUUGUGUUGUAGCCUCGUCUCAGAAGUGUAGCCCCCCUGAUUUAUACAAAUGAAGGAUCAUAAGCUGGGAAAGAGAAGCAUAUGAUAAAUUAUUAACAGAUUCUAAUAUGACAUGAUAAUACAAAUCACAUUGGCAUUUCAGUUCCGAUCUUUUAUGUGCAAAAGUCAAAAUCACCGAAAAAGACCCCAAUGGCAAGUCCAGAUUGGUUAUCUGGAACCAAUACUGACUAAGACAUACUCAUACAGAUCUUAACACUAAUACAGCAGAACCAAAAAUGACUUUUGCGAUCGCUGGUGACACUCUUAAGCCGAUAAUUCAAUUACAACGAUUUUAUCAUUAAGAAAUGGGGAUUAGCCUACUAAAGUACUGAGAUUAUAGAUUAUACGUAUAAAUUAGGAAACAUGAAAUACAAAAAUAAUUAGCAAAAUUACGAAAUAAUUCACCCCACCUCAACAGUUACACGAGUCGAGUCCCACAAAACCUAAUUAUGUCUAGGAUAAAUUUAUCGUGCCCCCAGUUUUUCUUCUUUGGGGGGCCCAGUACAUCCAUAUACUACCCUUUCUUCUUGGUGCCCCCAGUACAUCCAUAUACAACUU